rnacentral:rRNA from 1 species
GAAUUAUUGGGCGUAAAGAGCUCGUAGGCGGUUUGUCGCGUCUGCUGUGAAAGCCCGGGGCUCAACCCCGGGUCUGCAGUGGGUACGGGCAGACUAGAGUGCAGUAGGGGAGACUGGAAUUCCUGGUGUAGCGGUGAAAUGCGCAGAUAUCAGGAGGAACACCGAUGGCGAAGGCAGGUCUCUGGGCUGUUACUGACGCUGAGGAGCGAAAGCAUGGGGAGCGAACAGGAUUAGAUACCCUGGUAGUCCAUGCCGUAAACGUUGGGCACUAGGUGUGGGGGACAUUCCACGUUUUCCGCGCCGUAGCUAACGCAUUAAGUGCCCCGCCUGGGGAGUACGGCCGCAAGGCUAAAACUCAAAGGAAUUGACGGGGGCCCGCACAAGCGGCGGAGCAUGCGGAUUAAUUCGAUGCAACGCGAAGAACCUUACCAAGGCUUGACAUUCACCGGACCGCUCCAGAGAUGGGGUUUCCCUUCGGGGCUGGUGGACAGGUGGUGCAUGGUUGUCGUCAGCUCGUGUCGUGAGAUGUUGGGUUAAGUCCCGCAACGAGCGCAACCCUCGUUCUAUGUUGCCAGCACGUGAUGGUGGGGACUCAUAGGAGACUGCCGGGGUCAACUCGGAGGAAGGUGGGGAUGACGUCAAAUCAUCAUGCCCCUUAUGUCUUGGGCUUCACGCAUGCUACAAUGGCCGGUACAAAGGGUUGCGAUACUGUGAGGUGGAGCUAAUCCCAAAAAGCCGGUCUCAGUUCGGAUUGAGGUCUGCAACUCGACCUCAUGAAGUCGGAGUCGCUAGUAAUCGCAGAUCAGCAACGCUGCGGUGAAUACGUUCCCGGGCCUUGUACACACCGCCCGUCAAGUCACGAAAGUUGGUAACACCCGAAGCCGGUGGCCUAACCCCUUGGGGAGGGAGU